rnacentral:rRNA from 1 species
UACAGAGGGGCAAGCGUUAUUCGGAAUUAUUGGGCGUAAAGGGCGCGUAGGCGGCUUUGCAAGUGACGGGUGAAAUCCCUCGGCUUAACCGAGGAACUGCCUGUCAAACUGCAUGGCUUGAGACCGGGAGAGGUGAGUGGAAUUCCCAGUGUAGCGGUGAAAUGCGUAGAUAUUGGGAGGAACACCAGUGGCGAAGGCGGCUCACUGGACCGGUACUGACGCUGAUGCGCGAAAGCGUGGGGAGCCAAACAGG